GAGGGUUUAGCUCAAGCGGUAGAGUGGAUGCUUAGCAAGCAUGAAGUCCUAGGUUCAAUCCCUGGUACCUCCU
rnacentral:tRNA from 1 species